CGAUGCUCCCUGUGGAUGUUGAUGUAAUGUGAUUUAUACCUAGUGCUCUGCAUGUGAAAGUGAAGAAAUUCAACUAAGCGUGGGUAAAAAACAUGAAUAACUAUGACUCUCUUAAUGUAGUCAGAUGCCUAGUCAUGUAAUUAGUGACAUGUAUGAAUGGAUUAACAAGAUUCCCAUUGUCCCUAGAUACUAUAUAUAAAAACCACAACCAAUGGAUAUUAG
rnacentral:ncRNA from 1 species